GACGAACGCUGGCGGCGUGCCUAAUACAUGCAAGUCGAACGCAGUGGGGACGGGUGAGUAACACGUGGGUAACCUCCCAUCAGAGGGGAUAACACUUGGAAACAGGUGCUAAACCGAUACUGAUGGAUGAACCCGCGGUGCAUUAGCUAGUUGGUGAGGUAACGUCUCACCAAGGCCACGAUGCAUAGCCGUCCUGAGAGAGUGAUCGGCCAUACUUGAAUGUAGACACGGCCCAUACUCCUACGGGAGGCAGCAGUAGGGAAUCUUCUGCAAUGGACGAAAGUCUGAUCGAGCAAUGCCGCGUGAGUGAAGAAGGUUUUCGGAUUGUAAAAGUCUGUUGUUAGAGAUGCGGUAUCUAAACAGAAAGCCACGGCGAACUACGUGCCAGCAGCCGCGGUAAUAC
rnacentral:rRNA from 1 species